GAAAGACAGCACCUAUUUUACUACAAGCAUUAUUAAAAACAACAGUUAUACCCAGUGUAGUGAUCUUCUGAGUAUAAGGAUGAAUCUGAAUUUAUUGAAAGGGAUCGUGGAAUUUGGAUGUGUAUUUGGGACUUAGGCUCUUAAGAGUGAAAAAUAGAUGAUAACCAAGAGAAUGGAGAACAAUUGGAAGCCAGUAGCUAAAGCAAAGUCAGGGUAUCCAGAAUAUCAUGAUCCAUAAAGCACAAACUAAAAGUCAGAGCAAAACAAGUCAAAAUCAGGAAGAUAAACUAAAAAUUAUGAAAUAAAUAUUUUGUUGUUGUUGAAUUGUA